GCUGAGGAAGAUUGGCCCUGAGCUAACUACUCCCAAUCCUCCUCUUUUCGCUGAGGCAGGUGGGUGGGGCGAAGCUACCCAAACCCCGGAAGUUGCUGCUGCUCCAGCCGCGCUGGGGACCGCGUCUCCCCGCGGUUAGAGGCUCCACGUGGCUCUGCUGCCUGUUCUGUCGAGUUGUGACCUGUAGCGACCUCGGGAGUCCUAGGAAGGACACCGGGGGACCCAGGAAACCUAGAAAGAAUGCAAUACAUGCCUGUGGGGUUUCUUGUUGAGUCAGCAAAGUGGCGUACAGUUUUCUUCCCUCAUUUCCACAUAAAGACUGGUUUGAAUCCUUUAGCUGGAUUGUUCAAAGACCAGGUUUGGCUAAGUCUGCUCUGUCCAGUCCUGUGUCCACAGCCUCUCAGCUGCACUUGGCCUUCCCCUCUGAAGGGACAUGAUGCCCCUUUACUGGGUUCUCCUCGUGGAUCUUCCCCAGCUGUGCCCUCCCACAGUCAUGGCAGGCGGGGUCUGAACUGCGCCCUGGUGUCUCCAAGAACACAGGUACAAUGUUACAUUAAUAACAUCUCCUCUGAGGACAUUUAGGACAUACAAAUAUUUUAAAAGGGAGCUCACAAAAAGUGGAUGGGAUAUUCCCACUCAUAUGAGGUGACACCCUGACAACUUUGUUAAAUUUCUGGAAAUUAUUUAAUAAUCUGAAUUCUGAUCCUUCUCUGAUGCCUUGAAGAAAAAGCUAUUGUUUCGCUAUUGUUACUUGGAUAUUUGCCUCCCCCUCUAAAUGGGCACUCCUACCACAAAAGUCUGGAGAAUCUCUUCAGAUUGUCGUACAACCAAAAUCCCUGUUAGUGCUCUCAGAGGCUCCUUCACUAUAGAGGCCUCAGUGACCUUCUGUCAUCCUCCUGGGGUACCCAUGAUGGCCUUUAGUUGUCCAUAGGCUUCUGAUGCAAGAACCUGCCCUAGGCCCCACACUAUAUGCCGUUAGAGCUGCAAUGACCUCUACUUACGGGGCUCUCCUGACAGUAGAUGGCCCUGCACAUGGGACCAUCUAUCCAGCAGUCCAUUUUGACUUGGGACCUGGAAACAGCACUCUAAGAGCUCGGCACGGUUACUGAGACCCCCUGGAGACAUGAUGGAGCCCGACCUGGGCACUCUGGGAUAUCCUACCUGCAGGAGGGGGUGGUCUUCCCUGUCCUCAGUCUCCUGCCAGGUGCCAUGUGUUGAAACAGGUCACCCCUUUCCCAGACCCACAGGUUCCAUGUGAAACUCCUUUGGACUCCCUGAGUGAAAAGCAAUGGGAGUCCAUAGAUUUUAGGGACAACAUCACCUCAUUUGUACAUGAUGGAGCUCAGGCAGAGUUGUUGUUUUUCAUGUCUUAGUUGUGACAUCUCUCAUAAAAGGCCCAGACCCAAGGGUCAUCACACUGACCGUACAUCAAACAGUCAUCUUAGCACUGACCAACAAUUGGCUCCAGCUGCAGACAUUGCAGACUAUGGGCAAUUCCCUGAGAGUUGCCCCUUUGUGGUAAAAGGACUCUGGGAAUCUCUUGCUUCACAAUUACCUUCAAUAUAAAUCAAAAUAAAACUUGUCUCUAUACAUAUAAAGGUCACACACAAAGCCUCACCGGGACACUCUUUAUCCACGUGGGAGUUCCAGACACUACUGAUAAUAACAAAGGCAUUCAUUUCACUUCUCAGAAUAUACGGUGCUGGGCUCUUAACAAGGUAUUCAAUGGAAGUUUCUCCUCUCUUCCAAGUCUCGGGGUGCAGGCCUCAUAGAGCACCAUUAUGGCUUAUUGAAAUAAGGUCAAGUUAGUUGAAUGGAAGAUGGUCUGUUUCUGUCAUCAGCCAGUCAUUGGGGGUGAAUAUUAAUGUGUCUGUCCAUCUUUUUGUUCCUAGUAGACUUCAUUUUUCUUAAGAGUAGUUUUAAGUUUAUAGAAAACUUGAUUGGAAAGUACAGAUUUCCCACAUAACCCCUCUGCCUCCACACAGUUUGCCCUAUAUUUUAUAUCCUGUGUUACUGGGUUCAUUUGUUACAUUUGAUGAGCCAAUUUGAUAUAUGAAAGUUCAUAGUUUACAUUAGUGUUGACUAUGUUAUGCAAUCUCUGGGCUUUGGCCAAGGUGAAAUGACAUGUCUCCAUCAUUUCUGUAUCAUAUGGAACAUUUUCACUGUCCUAGAAAUCUCCUGUGCUCCAUCUAUUCAUUCUUCCCUCUCUCCCACCCCCAGGUCCCUGGUAACCAAUGAUCUUUCAGUGUCUUAUACUUCUAUCUUUUCCAGAAUGUCACUUGCUUGGAAUCACACAGUGUACAGCCUUGUCAUAUUGGCUUCUUUUACUUAGCAAUAUGAUUUUAAAGUUUCUCCAUGUGAUUUUGGCUUGGUAACUCCAUUUCUAUUCAUCACUGAAGUAUGGACAUACCAUGUUUGUUGAUCCCUUUUCCUAUUGAAAUUAUCUUGGUUACAUCUAGGUCUUGACAUUUAUGCAUAAAGCUCCUAUAAAUAUUCAUGUGCAGAUAUUUUGUGAACAUCUGUUUUCAGCUCAUCUGGAUAAGUUUGAAGAACAUGAUUGCUGCAUCGUAUGGUCAGUGUGGGGUUAGUUUUAAGAAACUACUUUUCUCCCAAAGUAGGCAUUCCAUUCUCCAUUCCCACCAACAAUGAAUGAGGCUCCAUCUUCACUGUUGUUUGGUAUCUUCAGUGUUUUGUUUUGUUUUUUGAGGAAGAUUAGCUCUGAGCUAAUAUCUGCCGCCAGUCCUCCUCGUUUUCCUCAGGAAGACUGGCCCUGAGCUAACAUCCGUGCCCAUC